rnacentral:rRNA from 1 species
AUUGAACGCUGGCGGCAUGCCUUACACAUGCAGGUCGAACGGCAGCAUGGAGAGCUUGCUCUCUGAUGGCGAGUGGCGAACGGGUGAGUAAUGCAUCGGAACGUACCGUGUAAUGGGGGAUAACGUAGCGAAAGUUACGCUAAUACCGCAUACGACCUGAGGGUGAAAGCAGGGGAUCGCAAGACCUUGCGUUAUACGAGCGGCCGAUGUCAGAUUAGCUAGUUGGUGAGGUAAAGGCUCACCAAGGCGACGAUCUGUAGCGGGUCUGAGAGGAUGAUCCGCCACACUGGGACUGGGACACGGCCCAGACCCCUACGGGAGGCAGCAGUGGGGAAUUUUGGACAAUGGGGGCAACCCUGAUCCAGCCAUGCCGCGUGAGUGAAGAAGGCCUUCGGGUUGUAAAGCUCUUUCGGCCGGGAAGAAAUCGCACAGGCUAAUACUCUGUGUGGAUGACGGUACCGGCAUAAGAAGCACCGGCUAACUACGUGCCAGCCGCCGCCGUAA